CCUACGGGAGGCAGCAGUGGGGGAUAUUGCACAAUGGGGGAAACCCUGAUGCAGCGACGCCGCGUGAGUGAAGAAGUAUUUCGGUAUGUAAAGCUCUAUCAGCAGGGAAGAAAAUGACAGUACCUGACCAAGAAGCCCCGGCUAACUACGUGCCAGCAGCCGCGGUAAUACGUAGGGGGCAAGCGUUAUCCGGAUUUACUGGGUGUAAAGGGAGCGUAGUCGGUUAGGUAAGUCAGGAGUGAAAGCCCGGGGCCAAACCCCGGGACUGCUUUGGAAACUGUGUAACUGGAGUGCAGGAGGGGCAGGCGGAAUUCGUGGUGUAGCGGUGAAAUGCGUAGAUAUCAGGAGGAACACCGGCGGCGAAGGCGGCCUGCUGGACUGAAACUGACGUUGAGGCUCGAAAGCGUGGGGAGCAAACAGGAUUAGAUACCCUUGUAGUC
rnacentral:rRNA from 1 species